rnacentral:rRNA from 1 species
UACGGAGGGUGCGAGCGUUGUCCGGAAUCACUGGGCGUAAAGGGCGCGUAGGCGGCCUGAUAAGUAGGGGGUGAAAUCCUGCGGCUUAACCGCAGGGCUGCCUUCUAAACUGUCAGGCUCGAGCACAGUAGAGGCAGGUGGAAUUCCCGGUGUAGCGGUGGAAUGCGUAGAGAUCCGGAAGAACACCGGUGGCGAAGGCGGCCUGCUGGGCAGUUGCCGACACUGAGGCGCGACAGCGUGGGGAGCAAACAGG